GACGAACGCUGGCGGCGUGCCUAAUACAUGCAAGUCGAGCGAACUUGCGGGAGCUUGCUCCCAAAAGUUAGCGGCGGACGGCUGAGUAACACGUGGGCUACCUGCCUGUAAGACGGGCAUAACUUCGGGAAACCGGAGCUAAUACCGGAUGACUCUUUUCCUCGCAUGAGGAAAAGCUGAAAGAUGGUUUCGGCUAUCACUUCACCAUGGGCCCGCGGCGCAUUAGCUAGUUGGUGAGGUAACGGCUCACCAAGGCCACGAUGCAUAACCGACCUGAGAGGGUGAUCGGCCACACUGGAACUGAGACACGGCCCAGACUCCUACGGGAGGCACCAGUAGGGAAUCUUCCGCAAUGGACGAAAGUCUGACGGAGCAACGCCGCGUGAGUGAUGAAGGUUUUCGGAUCGUAAAACUUUGUUGUUAGGGAAGAAAAAGUAUCGGAGUAACUGCCUGUACCGUGACGGCACCUAACCAUAAAGUCAUGGCUAACUACACGCCAGCAGCCGCGGAUAUACGUAGGUGGCAAGCGUUCUCCGGAAUUAUUGAGACUAAUGCCCGCACACGUGGUUCCCUUACUCUGAUGUGAAAGCCCCCUGGCUCAACCGGGGAGGGUCAUUGGAAACUGGGGAACUUGAGUGCAGAAGAGGAAAGUGGAAUUCCACGUGUAGCGGUGAAAUGCGUAGAGAUGUGGAGGAACACCCGUGGCGAAGGCGACUUUCUGGUCUGCAACUGACACUGAGGCGCGAAAGCGUGGGGAGCGAACAGGAUUAGAUACCCUGGUAGUCCACGCCGUAAACGAUGAGUGCUAAGUGUUAGGGGGUUUCCGCCCCUUAGUGCUGCAGCAAACGCAUUAAGCACUCCGCCUGGGGAGUACGGCCGCAAGGCUGAAACUCAAAGGAAUUGACGGGGGCCCGCACAAGCGGUGGAGCAUGUGGUUUAAUUCGAAGCAACGCGAAGAACCUUACCAGGUCUUGACAUCCUCUGACAACCCUAGAGAUAGGGCGUUCCCCUUCGGGGGACAGAGUGACAGGUGGUGCAUGGUUGUCGUCAGCUCGUGUCGUGAGAUGUUGGGUUAAGUCCCGCAACGAGCGCAACCCUUGAUCUUAGUUGCCAGCAUUUAGUUGGGCACUCUAAGGUGACUGCCGGUGACAAACCGGAGGAAGGUGGGGAUGACGUCAAAUCAUCAUGCCCCUUAUGACCUGGGCUACACACGUGCUACAAUGGAUGGAACAAAGGGCUGCGAGACCGCGAGGUUAAGCCAAUCCCAUAAAACCAUUCUCAGUUCGGAUUGCAGGCUGCAACUCGCCUGCAUGAAGCCGGAAUCGCUAGUAAUCGCGGAUCAGCAUGCCGCGGUGAAUACGUUCCCGGGCCU
rnacentral:rRNA from 1 species